rnacentral:rRNA from 1 species
GAUGAACGCUGGCGGCGUGCCUAAUACAUGCAAGUCGAGCGAACAGACGAGGAGCUUGCUCCUCUGACGUUAGCGGCGGACGGGUGAGUAACACGUGGAUAACCUACCUAUAAGACGGGGAUAACUUCGGGAAACCGGAGCUAAUACCGGAUAAUAUAUUGAACCGCAGGGUUCAAUAGUGAAAGACGGUUUUGCUGUCACUUAUAGAUGGAUCCGCGCCGCAUUAGCUAGUUGGUAAGGUAACGGCUUACCAAGGCAACGAUGCGUAGCCGGCCUGAGAGGGUGAUCGGCCACACUGGGACUGAGACACGGUCCAGACUCCUACGGGAGGCAGCAGUAGGGAAUCUUCCGCAAUGGGCGAAAGCCUGACGGAGCAACGCCGCGUGAGUGAUGAAGGUCUUCGGAUCGUAAAACUCUGUUAUUAGGGAAGAACAAAUGUGUAAGUAACUAUGCACGUCUUGACGGUACCUAAUCAGAAAGCCACGGCUAACUACGUG